ensembl:lncRNA
AGAGACGCUACGAUGAUGUCAGGAAAACGAGGCGGGCUUUGAGUUUGACUUACAGACACUUUCACCAAUCGGAGCUCGUGAUUCUAGUUCUCGUUCUGCACGGUAACCAAUGGCAGCAAACCAGGAAGUGUAUUUGGAAGAACUUGAACAAGGAAUCAGCGAGGAUUACAGAGUCGCAAAAUUUGGAUUUCGUUGUGGUAUUAAUCCUGAAUUAUGUGUUCGUGUAACGUUACAUUAUUCAUGUAAGUUUAACUCUUUAUAAAAAUAUAUAAUUUUCACACGACGUCAACAUGAACAGAAAAACAAGGCAGAUAUGUUGGAACUUUUCCAAUGUCCUGUAAUAAACCUGUAUUGAGGCUACGGCCAGUGUGCGCAUGCGCACGACCCACAAUUCAUUUCUUCCUCGUGUCUCUUUUGGAAGAGUUCCUUAACGUGGUCUUUCUCGUCUCUCCGUUGGAAGGGUUAGAGGAGUGUCCGACUGAAGCACCUGGUUUGAAAAGAGCACAAAACCCCAGGAGGAGCGGAAAUGGGAAUUCUGAGCUGCAGAAAUGGAGCGCCUCUCAUGUUAAAAGUACUCGGGUAAGUAGGCUUGAAUAUGAAAAAUCCAGUAAAGUUUUUAUUGUGUGUCCUGAAAACGAACAUCCACAACCUGGAUGAGAAGUUUAAAAAAAUGAAAAAAAGGCACUGCACGUAGAGAGCUGUGUUGGUUUUUCCUCUUAUGCUUUGCACACUGGAGUCUGCAGGUGGUUCUAGUGGCCAUAACGGGGAGGGGGGGGGACAGCAACCUCUUGCAAAAACAUUGGGGUCAGCUGGCAUCUGCAUGUGCCUGGAUCGUGUGCAAGGAACAUCACCUAAACAGACACAUCUUCCCUUAAUGCCUGACUGCAGUGCAGGUCUGCAUGAGGCAUCAAUCAAUUUGUGGGGGGAAAACCCAUCUGUUUGAAACCCUGCUUUGGUACCACUUGCAUCAUUUUAAGCGUAUUUUGGUGAACGGUGUAGUCGACUGGUUAGGAGACUAAGACACAGGAAUGCAUUUUAAAGCUAACAACAUAAAGGGUUUGAAAAGUCUGUAAGUAUAUGUGCAUGUUUUUUGUCGAUACUUUGCCUGUUUCAUAGCACCACGGGUACGCCGUUUAUGCUUUGGGGGUGUACACGUCAUCCCAUAUGCAAGCCUCUGGAAGCUACACUUACCCCUAAACCCCCUCACUUUCACAACACAGGUACAUAAACUACAUGAUAAAUAAAUUUGAAGCAGCCUUAAUACGAACACAUUUCAUUUAGUCCAAUUUAUCCGUUAUGUUAUUUUUAAUAAAUAAAUAAAUAAAUAAAUAAAACUCCUACAGACUCCAGUGACAACAGGCAUCUUUUCUCUUCAUCUCAUCGUGUUAUAUAUGACCUCUUGUUAAAUGUGAAGAAGCAGCUUGCAAGAAAAUAGGAGAUAUCACUGUCUCUGCUGCUUGCUAAUACAAAGCCUGGCUUUGUUUACGUACAUGUAACGCAGACCAUUUUCACACCAAUAGUUCAUUUACAUUUGUGUCUAAAUAUUUUGAAGAUGUAAAGGUGUGUGUGUGUGUGUGUGUAUAAUAUUUAUAGGUCUCUAGUGAGUAUUUUGCGAUCGCAGAAAUGAACGGAAAAUCAAGCAAACACCGCAAUAUUUGGAGGAGCUUGCAACGUUUCAAAAUGACUGCAGAUUUUACGCAGAUUCGGGUCGAGAAGCGUCACGUGACCUCAUGACGAGCGUUCACCCGAAGCGCUCUUCGAUUCACGUGUGUCGAACAUUAGUACAGCUAAAAGGUCUCAUUUAGCAACAAACAAGGCUGUGAAAGACCAUGCGAAACAAUUUCCUGCUAUUGCGAUUUUGCCGCUUCAAAGUAGUUUUCCACAAAAAACUCCAGUUGCAUCACAGGUUUUGAAAAAAAGCCGAGCAUUUGUGGCCGCAACAACGAUGCAUUAGGUUGAAUGUUUUCUAAGAUUUCUCUUAAAUCCUACAAUCAUAUAUAACCAAGAGAUUUUGGAAUAGAGUCAAACAGGGUCGAGGUCAGAUGUCUGAAAGAUUUUCUUGAAGUAUAUUUCCUGUUUGGAGUUUAUUGGAAGGGUACAAAUGACUUAUUGGCAGAGGAGAGACGUCCCAGUCAGUGUGGUUCUGUGUCGAGUUCUACUUGUUUGUGUUUGCAUCUGUAGUGCUAAUAUUUCUUAAAAUGGUGUGUGUGUGUCUGUUCCAGACUGGACUCCCAGCCACCGGAUUGAGAUGUUCUGUGCUGAAACUGUGAAGGUAAGCAUUAAAGAGAGUAAGAAAUGUAUGCUCCUAAUCUGAUCCGAGUACCUUUUUACGUUUGUUAUUCGGUGAGCAUUAUCUAUUUAAAUGAAUACUUAUGUUAAUACUGUGUGCAGGUUAGAGGAGUGUCCAACUGAAGCACCUGGUUUGAAAAGAGCACAAGACCUCAGCAGGUGAGUGUCUUAAAGGACAAUAACAUUUCUUGGUUGCUAUUUUGUGUUUGUCUCUGUCCCCUUUAUUGCCCAUUUAAGACUGCUCAUGUCCUAAAUGAUUAACACAGGGGGGAAGAAGAAUUCUCUCAAAAACCUGAAGUAAAGGCUGAUCUUUCCUUGCUUCGGAUCCUGUCGGGAGAAACAAACUUUCUCUUUAAAUAAAACAAAUCUUUAUUUCUCAUGUUUGUUCAUAUCGCUCUGAUAUCAAUUAUAAACCUUGUCUACAGGAGCUGAAAGAACGCACGAGCUGAGAAAAUAAGAUGACGUGCCAUGUCAAGUGCCCGGGUGAGCAAGCUGAUCACCUCCAGAAUAUAUUGGUUGGCAGGAUUCAUGAAACCAAGGUGAAACCGAAGAGCAUUCGGUGGAGGAUAUUUUGAGCUUGAUUACUGCACUAUCCACAAAGCUUUUAAAAUGACCAAUACCCCUAUCAUUAACAUACGGCAUCGAACCUCGUCCUGUGAUAUUAAUAAGGUUGUAGGUGCUUGUAUAAACAUCAUACAGGUUGGCAAUAAUUUAGCCACUUUGAAAAUAAAUAAAUAAAAUUAUUUUUUGUAGCAAGGAAAUACUAUUCUUGAACUGAAACUUCUACCAAUUCCAGUGUGAGAGCACAAAAAUCCACAUCCUGGAUGCAAAGCUAGAAAGCAUGUAGACAGCUUGCUUAUGUAUUUAUUUAUUUAUUUUUAUUUGUAUAAUAAAUCUCUCCUCCUAUGCUUUGCCCACUGGAGGCUGCCAGUGUUUCUAGUGGCCAUAACAGGGGGGUAUAGCAACCUCUUGCAAAAACUGGAUCAAAGGGCGUCCACAUGGGCCCGGAUCCUGUGCAAGGAACAGACACAUCUUCUAUGAACAGCCUCUUUCAUGACUUAACACCCACCUAGUAAAUAAUGCUCAGAAUCCAAAUAAAGCUAAUGCUCACAAUUUAAUCUCACUGAGGACUUUUUUUUUUUUUUAUUAGGCAGGGAGUUGAAACGGAUAAGAUGACCGACAACCAAUAUCGUGUAUCAUAACGUAACAAAAAAAUAAGCCAGAAGUCAAUUCAAUAUACCGAUGGCUCGAUUUUUCCAUGUGUUUCUAUCUAGGUGCUGCGGAUGUGUCCUGAAGUCCAGAUGAGCAGCAUGUGUGCGUUCAACACGGACACGUUUUUAUCUGCCCUUAUGUUUGAACUUUUCUUUGUGCUACUUGGUGUUGACUGUAACGUCGUCUUAGAAAUUUAUAAAGUUGCUUGUCAGAUCUUUUCUGUGAAGUAAAUAAAAAAUAAUAAAGGUGGAGAAAUAGUGUGUUCAAACUUUACAUCCGUUUGCCUCUUUCCUACUCUCUGUGCGCACUCUAUUUUCAUACGGCCGAAUUCCCAAUAAAGCUGUUCUCAUUUACACAGUUUUCUGUUCGAGUGACAGGGUUGUAUUUGUGUUCUGUUAAAAAUGAACACUGAAGUUAUUUAGCAAUGUUCUAUUUAAUGACUUUUUAUAAUUCAAACAUUUUUUAAGCACUACUAGAUAGAAAAUGGCUAUUUUCAAGGUUCUCCAGGUUCUUGACAUUUCAAAAAGCCAAAUUCAAGUGCUUGAAACACUUUGUAUGAACCCUGUAUACAUAGACAGAAGUAGCACAG